rnacentral:piRNA from 1 species
UGAACGCACAUUCCAGGACCUGGACC